UCCCCCAGGGCGGGGUAGUUGGAGCCCAACAUGGCGGCCUGCCGCUACCGCUGUUUCCUUAAGCUCUGUGAGGAGUGGCCAGUGGACGACACCAAACGGGGCCGGGACUUGGGCGCUUACCUGCGGCAGCGGGGAGCACAGGCCUUUGGGGAGGGAGAAAAUACCCAGGUCGCUGAGCCCGAGGCCUGCGAUCAGAUGUACGAGAGGUUGGCACGACUCCGUUCAAACUACUGCAAACACAAGUACCCUCGCCCGAGAGACACCAGCUUCAGCGGCCUGUCCCUGGAGGAGUACAAGCUGAUCCUGUCCACAGACACCCUGGAAGAGUUUAAGGACAUGAACAAAGGCCUGUGGAAGAAGCUGCAGGAGAAGUUUGUUCAGCUUAAACUGUGA